rnacentral:rRNA from 1 species
GUCCUAGCCUUAAACGAUGGAUGCUUGGUGUAGCAGGUACCCAAUCCUGCCGUGCCGGAGCUAACGCGAUAAGCAUCCCGCCUGGGGAGUACGGUCGCAAGGCUGAAACUCAAAGUAAUUGACGGGGCCGCACAAGCGGUGGAGCAUGUGGUUCAAUUCGACGCAACGCGAAGAACCUUACCUGGGCUCGAAGCGCAGUGGACCGGGGUGGAAACAUCCCUUUCUCGCAAGAGACCGCUGCGGAGGUGCUGCAUGGCUGUCGU